UGUCCGGAAUUAUUGGGCGUAAAGAGCUCGUAGGUGGUUCGAUACGUCGGAUGUGAAAAUCAGGGGCUCAACCCCUGACCUGCAUCCGAUACGGUCGAGCUAGAGUUUGGUAGGGGAGACUGGAAUUCCUGGUGUAGCGGUGGAAUGCGCAGAUAUCAGGAGGAACACCGAUGGCGAAGGCAGGUCUCUGGGCCAAUACUGACACUGAGGAGCGAAAGCGUGGGGAGCGAACAGGAUUAGAUACCCUGGUAGUCCACGCCGUAAACGGUGGGCGCUAGUUGUGCGAACCUUCCACGGUUUGUGCGACGCAGCUAACGCAUUAAGCGCCCCGCCUGGGGAGUACGAUCGCAAGAUUAAAACUCAAAGGAAUUGACGGGGCCCCGCACAAGCAGCGGAGCAUGCGGCUUAAUUCGACGCAACGCGAAGAACCUUACCAAGGCUUGACAUAUACAGGAAUAUGGCAGAGAUGUCAUAGCCGCAAGGUCUGUAUACAGGUGGUGCAUGGUUGUCGUCAGCUCGUGUCGUGAGAUGUUGGGUUAAGUCCCGCAACGAGCGCAACCCUCGUUCUGUGUUGCCAGCAUUUAGUUGGGGACUCACAGGAGACUGCCGGGGUUAACUCGGAGGAAGGUGGGGAUGACGUCAAAUCAUCAUGCCCCUUAUGUCUUGGGCUGCACGCAUGCUACAAUGGCUGGUACAAACGGCUGCGAUACCGCAAGGUGGAGCGAAUCCGAGAAAGCCAGUCUCAGUUCGGAUUGGGGUCUGCAACUCGACCCCAUGAAGUCGGAGUUGCUAGUAAUCGUAGAUCAGCAACGCUACGGUGAAUACGUUCCCGGGGCUUGUACACACCGCCUGUCACAUCACGAAAGUCGGUAACACCCAAAGUCAGUGGCCCAACCGCAAGGAGGGAGCUGCCAAAGGUGGGAUCGGUGAUUGGGAUGAAGUCGUAACAAGGUAGCC
rnacentral:rRNA from 1 species